rnacentral:tRNA from 1 species
GGGAGUAUAGCUCAAUGAAAGAGGACUUGCCUAACAUGCAGGAGGUCUUGGGCUUCAUUCCCACCACCCCCU